GAUGAACGCUGGCGGCGUGCCUAAUACAUGCAAGUCGAGCGAACGGACGAGAAGCUUGCUUCUCUGAUGUUAGCGGCGGACGGGUGAGUAACACGUGGAUAACCUACCUAUAAGACUGGGAUAACUUCGGGAAACCGGAGCUAAUACCGGAUAAUAUUUUGAACCGCAUGGUUCAAAAGUGAAAGACGGUCUUGCUGUCACUUAUAGAUGGAUCCGCGCUGCAUUAGCUAGUUGGUAAGGUAACGGCUUACCAAGGCAACGAUGCAUAGCCGACCUGAGAGGUGGACCGCCCCAACUGGAACGGGACACGGGCCCGAACCCCAACGGAGGGCAGCGGAGGGAAACUUCCGCAAUUGGGGGAAGCCUUAAGGGGGAAACGCCCGGGAGUGAAGGAAGUCUUCCGAUCGUAAAACUCUGUUAUUAGGGAAGAACAUAUGUGUAAGUAACUGUGCACAUCUUGACGGUACCUAAUCAGAAAGCCACGGCUAACUACGUG
rnacentral:rRNA from 1 species